rnacentral:rRNA from 1 species
UACGAGUGCCUCAAGCGUUAUCCGGAAUUAUUGGGCGUAAAGGAUGUGUAGGUGGUCGUGUUAGUCUCUUGUUAAAUUCUUCGGCUUAACCGGGGACCUGCAAGGGAAACGGCACGACUAGAGGAUGCGAGGGGUCUGCGGAACUCAUAGUGUAGCGGUGAAAUGCGUUGAUAUUAUGGGGAACACCAAAAGCGAAGGCAGCAGACUGGAGCACUCCUGACACUGAAACAUGAAAGCGUGGGUAGCGAAUGGA